rnacentral:lncRNA from 1 species
CAAAGAUUGAGUCCCCUGCUCAAGACAAAACAUUAUGCACAGUUCCUCCAAAUGUUUCAGUCUCUUCUUAAACUGAUGUGUGUUGAAAACUCUUAUCAUCUAGUCUUUUACUAAAGGCCUGUUCGUUUCUCUGACGCAGCGUCAGCGGCGGCGACCAAUAAUUAACAAACAGGUGAGAAAAUUUUUAACGGUGUGUUGUUGUAUAGUUGCCGCCGGCGACUUCCAUUGCUCCUCUUUUCUGUAAUUCUAUUGCCGCUGCAAAUAACAGCGUCUCCCACCUCAUACGAGAAGUGACGCAGCGUCUAAUGAUUGCCUUUUCUAACUCUCUCGAAACGAACAGCACUUAAGUCUGUGUUUGUAAGACCCUGGAAUCUCUUUAUUUUGUAUGUGCUUGUUCAGAACAAAUGACACUCUCUCUUCUUGUGUGUGUUCAAUUUUAAUCUUCAAGACUUACUUUUC